rnacentral:tRNA from 1 species
UCCGACUUAGCUCAGUGGUAGAGCAAUCGGCUGUUAUCCGAUUGGUCGCUGGUUCGAGCCCAGCAGUCGGAGCCA